rnacentral:lncRNA from 1 species
UUUUUUUUUUUUUUUUUGCUUUUUCAAACUUUAAAGUCUUUAUUCCUAAUGAACAGAUUUGAUAGUAAUUCAGAGCUGUUUGGUGAGCAAGACAGUUCGUUGGGUCAAAAAUUGAGCUUUUCCCUUAAUAGAAGGUGUUAUUAUAAUGAAAUAGAUUUCCUUUGUAACAGAUUAGAAUUCUGUUACCGAAGAAUGUGGAAUAUACUGAUCAUUAAAAUAAGUGGAUGGUUCUCAUAAAGAAACUCUUUUGAAAACUAACACAUUUAAAGAUACAAGUUCCAAAUUUAUAUGUUCUUAUUGCUUUAUUGGUGCACCCCUUUGCAUAUAGCCUUUGAAGCUCAAGAAACAAAGCAAUAAAAAAUACCCUGCAUGUGGCCCUUCACCUAAAUUAGUUUUCCCGACCAUCACGAGAGAUGACAGCUCCUUUACCCUAUGACAGACAAGUGGAGUCUAUUCUGUUUCUGUUUUUUAAAACUCAAAUGUAUAACAGUUGUAUUGAGAUAUAAUUCACACGACCAAAGAAAUCACCCAUUCGAAUGUACAAGUCAGUGGUUUGUAGGAUAUACCUGGGUGUGUAGCCAUCACCGUAAUAAGUAAAGCAAAUUGAAAAUAAUGUCAGAAAGGCUAAAGUUUCUUCCCAGCAGCCUAACACUGUAUUUUUAAUUUUUAAAAAUGAACAAUGUGAAAGAUUUUAUUUAAUUAGUUAAUUGGAAACCAGCAGGAUGGUAAACUGAGUAACUGAGUAUUUAUGUAUUUUACGUGUUUAUGUUUAUUGAAGUAUAAUUGACUUAUGGUAUUAUUUUGGUUUCAGGUAUAUUUGAUAUUUUUAUAGAUUAUACUCCAUACAGAGUUAUUAUAAAAAAUUGACUAUCUUGUGCUAUACAUUACAUCCUUGGAACUUCUUUUUUUAUUUUAUACCUAGUAGUUUGUACUCCUAAUCUCCUUCACCUCUUUUACCCUACCUCUUAGCCCUCUGGUUAACCACUAGUUUGUUCUCUCUGUGAAUCUAUUUUAUUAUAUUCUUGCAUUUAUUUUAUUUUCCAGAUUUCACGUACAAUUGAAAACAUACAGUACUUAUCUUUCUCUCUCUUUUUUCACCAAGCAUAAUGCCCUCUAGGUCCAUACACUUUGUCACAAACAACGAAUUUCACUCUUAAGCAGAUGCAAGCCUGCUUUGGAUGCUCCAGAAGACCUGGGCAUGUCUCUCAACAUACUUACCCUCAGUUGUUUUUAUUACUGUAUUGUAUCUGUCCCAUAGAAGGAAUUUAGUAGCAUCUGAGUGGGAAGGAAUUGGAUAUUGGGGCCCUUGUUUUCCUGAGGUAUGAAAUGUUGACAAAUGAAUUUGUCAAUUGAUGAAGCUGAUUUAAGAAAAGGGGAAAACAGUGUUUGGUUAAAAUAUUGUACAAAUUUUAUUUGCACCAAAUACAGUAUUUGGUACAGAAUAUUAAAAAAAGAAAUAUAUAGUCCAGUGAAAAAUGAAUGGUAAUGGAAGUUAUAUUAUAACUGCAAAUAACACAAGUUGUCACAUGUAGAAAUUAUGGGAGAUCUUUCUGCUGUUCUUGCUAAUUCUUCUCCUUUUCUGUUCCUGAAAUCCUAGCUUUAUUCUGCCUGUCAUAUUUCACCUCUCUCCUUUUUCUCCUUUACCUUUUUCUCUCUCUGUCCCCACUUCUCCCCACGACAAGCUGAGCAAGAGUGAAGGUUUUGAGUUUGUGCCUUUCCCCACUUAGCCGUAAAAACCAAUCAAGUAUGUUGUGAAGAUAGCCCUGGUAUGAGGGGAAAUAAGCUUCAAAUGCAGAAUGAUUACUGUUGGCGAUGGUGUAUAAAAUAAAUAAAAGGAUGUUAUGUGGAAUGUUCCUUCCGGGCUGAAAUGCACACAUUACAUGAUCUGGAUGGUAAACUGAGCCAGCUUAACCCUGGCUCCUGGAAAUGACGGUGUUUAUAAAUUUGCACGGUGACAUUUGUAUGAAUCAGCCUUUAACUUUUACUGCAUUGAAUACACUUAAUAUUGUUAUUUUAAUCGUUCUUUUAGAGCCAUUUAUGCUAUGGGAAAGAAACACUAGUUGAAAAUUUGAAAUGCUUAGAAAUUGGAUGGUUUUUGUUUUACCUAAGCUUUCAUGAUGGUUGUAAUUAAGAUUUUGUUUGUAGAUCACCCUGCUGUAGCAUGUGAGGAAAAAGCUUUUCCUUUCAUGAUUUUCUCACUGAAAAUAGUUUUUGUCAUUUCUAUUUAAAAAAGCUUUUUCUUAAACAAUCAGCUUUCCUUAUUUAUUUCUAUAGGUUUUGAAAUGUGUAUUGCUCCCAGUAUAUUUCAACAAUAAUGGGAAAAAUGAAGGAUAACGUAGAAUUACACCCCUGAGCAAAAUAUUUGAGGUUUAUUAUUUGUUGUUUAUUCCAGUUCUGUUACCUAUUAUAUUUGUAACUUUAACAGUGCCAUAACAGUGGUGUGGAUUCAGCUUUCCUUAAAAAUGGAUUUGAAUAGUCCAUGAUUCCUAUUUACUAGAUCAAAAUCAACAGAGGCAUUUCAUCAAGACUAAUAUUCAUCCUCUUCAGCAAUUUGAGAAAACUUUAAGAAGUAAAAGUCGAGUUCAAUAUCAACCUUUAUUGAUGUGUUACAGCUUAAUUUAUAAAAGAGAUGCACUGGCAAGAGCUUUCCCAAAACAAACAUAUAAACAACCCCCCAAACUACAGGUGUGGGCCACCAUUAUCUUUUCCGAGUUUUGUGCCUUUAAUGUGUUUGGGUCUCUCUGGGGUGCAUAAUAUAUGUGAUUUGUUUGAGAUUCAGCCAUAAAUUAGUAGUGAUUUUUCUCCAUUAUGAACUUUACACAUAAUGAAUUUCAGGAAGUACACAACAACACCUUCUGCUUGUAGAUAAAGACAGUAAUAUGAUGGAGUGAUCAAGUACGAAUGCUCCUUUAAUUUAUUUUACCAAGACAUUUAUCUAUGUUUUAUUUAUAAGGCAAUUGAAGCCAUUCAUUUUGUGUGGAACUCUUCCCCUCUGAAUAACAAGUAAUAUAUUAUCAUAUAUACCGCAUUGGAGAAGGGAGUGAUGAAAGCCACACUUGAAAAUAAAAGUUUAAUAUUUUGGGCUCAUUGGGCACAAUUAUAGUGGCACUAUCUUUGUUUUCAACUGAAUUAUAAUUGCAUGUGCAGAUUUUUAAAAAAAGUUGAGGUGGCAUGGUAGGGUAGAAAAUCGAUCAUUCAAGGAGGGAAGAGGUAUUAUUUUGCCACUGCAGAGCAUUUAAAAUGCACAGACUGUCUCAGAAAUAACCCUUUGUAAGGUUCUCGCACACACAUGAUUUUAUGUCGUUUCAUUUUAUGAGUGAACAGAAUAAAGUAGAAGCCCAUCUGCCCUAUGGUGUGGCCGUGUGAACGCCAUGGUCGUUGGUUUUGAACUCUUUUCAGAAACUGUCCCAUUUGAGGGGUACUUGCAACGUUUCAUUUCGGAACCAAGUCAGGUUGCCUAUUGUGUUUGCUGUCGCCCAGUGCCAUGCAGAAAUCUUUGUAAAGGCGCAUCAUAUAGUGAUCGUUUUUAGUUACCCUCCGUUAAAAUUCCAGCUAAUAGCUCUAAAAUGCCACAACUUCUGAGGCACCGAUUGCUCGAGACCACCCACUUCUGGAAUAGGUUAGAGGAAAAGAUCACGCUGGAAAGAAAAGUUGAAAGUUGAGGAGUUCCUGUCAUGGCUCAGCGGAAACGAGACUGACUAGGAUCCAUGAGGAUGCAGGUUCGAUCCGUGGCCUCGCUCAGGGUUAAGGAUCUGGUAUCGCCGCGAGCUGUGGUAUGGGUCACAUACAUGGUUACGACCUGGUGUGGCCGUGGCUGGGGUGUAGGCCAGUGGCUACAGCUCCAAUUCAACCCUUAGCUUGGGACCCUCCAUAUGCUGCGGGUGUGGUCCUAAAAGAAACCUCAAAAAACAAAAAAAGUUUAAAUGUAAAAUCUCAUAACAUAAAUAAGAGAUGUUAGCGCUUGGGUACCUCUACAUGUUGAAGUGCCCAAGGGCUAUGCUACAUGUUGGAUUCUGUAGGGAUUUAACUAUAUUAAGAUUACUAGCUCCCUGUAAAUUCAUUUGGAUAGAUCCAUGCAAUGUUGAGAUAAUUUACUGUCAUGUUUUCCUAACCAUGGUCCCAGACAACUCAAAUCUUCCAGUUAAGAUUCCUUUCAAUAAUGAGCUCGCUCUUAGCAAAUUGAAAGUGUCUGACAUCAAAACCAUGGCUCAGCGGUCAAUGAAUCUGACUAGCAUCCCUGAGGACGGAGGUUCGAUCCCUGACCUUGCUCAGAGGGUUAAGGAUCUGGCAUUGCCGUGAGCUGUGGUGAAGGUCACAGAUGCGGCUUGGAUCCUGCGUGGCUGUGGCUGUGGUGGAGGCCACCAGCUAGAGCUCCGAUUCGACCCUUAGCCUGGGAACCUCCCUGUGCUGAACGUGUGACCCUAAAAAGACAAGCAAGCAAGCAAGCAAACAACACUGUUUCAGCAGCAUCCCUUAUGUACAGAGAUUGGGCUAUUAAAACAUAUUUGAUAAUUAUAAAGAUGGUGGUUUGUGAUUGUUUUAAUCUCGUUUAGAAUUUCACAAAGUUACUCUGUUUGGGGCAUUUGAAAUCCUUUUUCUCCAUCUUACUUAUUUCUUUCUAAGGUAGAGUUCUUUGCCUUUUCUGAAUCAUGAACCCUUUUGACUUCAAAAGUCAUAGGAGCGCAAGUGGAACCAACUAUGUUGAAAUGGUUGAAAUAGCAAUAUAUGGGGAAUUCCCAUUGUGGCUCAGCGGGUUAAGAACCUGACUAGUAUCCAUGAGGACAUGAGUUUGAGCCCUAGCCUCACUUGGUGCAUUAAGGACCCAGCGUCACUGCGAGCUAUGGCGUGGGUCACAGAUACAGUUUGGCAUUGCUUUGGCCACCCCUAGCCUGCCACAGGAACAUCCCUAAAAAGACAAAAAACAAAAGAUCCAAUAUCUAAUGGCAGUUGUUAAGUUAGCAUAAGUGUAAUUUUGAGGUACUUGCUACAAUUGUAUAUGUUACUAAAAUAGUACUGAUUUCUGUUGAUCACAAAGUUACAGUAUGUUAAUACUAUUACUGUUGUUGCCUAUAAUAAGAAUUGAAGAAAAUGCUAAUUUCCAACUAGCAGUCAGUAGAUUCAAGAUGUUCUUCCCCAUCUGAGGUCAUACCCUCGUUGAAUUCUGUCUGUGGACCUCAGGUUAAGUACCUCCCCCUUUCUGCAGGGCCUCCUGCGGGUCUGACAGGUGCUUUUCCUGAGCCAGUAUUCCAGUGUGAGGUCAUUACCUGCUCUUUGCUCCUGAAGGGCUGACUUCUUACCCACUAGCAGAUGAGGCCGAUAAUGCUGCUAACGCUUCAGUCUCUUUAGCUUCUUCUGCCAGGAGAGACAUAUGUUUGGUCAUUAUUUUCCUUUCCCCAGUAAUUGGCUCUUUCUUCACUUGGGAGACCAGUACCAUUUUGUUAGCCAAACUGUUGAGAAAUUCUUGUUUCUUUGGAAUGGUAUAGGCCAAAGCAUAAAUCAGUUUGACAGAAAUAGCCACUCUUUUUGUUUCCAAUUUGCCCAAAUAAGUUAAUCUCAUUUAUAAAUGUUGACGACGACUCCUGUAUCCAAGUUGAGGCCAGGCUAGGAAUUCAUUUGUGAUAUAGGUUCGGUCACCUGAAAUAAACUGGACUAAGAGGAAAGACCAAACUGACUUGCAAAGAGUUUUAUUUAUUUAUUUUUUUAACAUGUGACCUGAGCUUAUAUAAAACUUUUUCCAUUGAUCCUACAUUCUACUUCUCAAGAGAGCAGAUUAUCAGGAUAUAGCUUCAGUGCAACAAACUAUGGAUUUAUAUAGACAUUUCACUUCUGUGGGCACAUUAGAGAGAAUCAGCAGUAAGAAGAAAGCUGAUUUACUGGAGAGUUUUACUGGGAAGGAGAUUUAGAAGAGAAUAGACAAGAGAGCAAAGCUCUAGGGCCCCUAUCCGUAAUAUUCUCCCUAUUAAUUGGAUUUUUCUUUCUUGCAUCAAGCUGUAGUUGAUUUGAAGUAAAUAAUACAUAUUUGAGUCAUGCAAUAUUUUGGGCCUUUUGUUAACUAAGGGCUCGGAGCAUACACCUAGAGACCCUUAUCUCAGAUCUUCUUCAGAUGUGUCUGCUGUAUUAUAUCUAGAGCUACAGGUAAAGGAAAGAGAAGAUUUAGGCAGAAAAGUGGAAGGUAUUCUGGAAAGGUUGGAAAGCCUCUGGAAAACUAAAGAAAAAAAAAUAAGUUAACAAUCCCAGUUAAGAGUAUUUUUCAGAUUGUAUAGAAGAGAAACAUUGUGUAUCAGUGAAACAAAGGGUUUCAUUUGAUUUAGGAUGCAUGAAAAAUGUGAGUUGUUCUCGGAUGAGAAAACUGGCAGUAGUUGCAAGUAUUCUAUUCAGUAGGCUACUGUAGCAAGCCCUAUAAGACAGUCAUUGGAAUUCUCAAAUGAAAUACAGCAUUGUUUAACAACAGUCAAAAUUCUUUCCUGGUUUGAGCCAAAAAUAGUGGGGGUACAUAUUUGCUGUUCAUUUUUUACUCCCCCCUCCCCUUUUUUCUUUUCAUGGUCAGUCAUCCUUGAACAUACUAGUCAUUCUCAAACUGUUCUUGCAUCAGAAUCACCUAGAGGGCUUGAUAAAACACCGACGACUGUGUGUGUGUGUUCUCCCCUGCCACUGCUGCUCCCCUCCCCAAAGAUUUCUGAUUCAAUAUUGGGUCAGGGUGGGACCCCUAAAUUUGCCUUUCUAACAAGUUAGGUACCACACUUUGAGAACCUCAGAACUGCAUCAUCAGUGUAAUUGUUCCCUAGCCCAAGUGAUGACUUACCAGAUGCUCUUUUGCUUAAUGUGUCUGUAUGGCCCAAUAGAGCACCUCAUCUUAUUAAAAACAAAAGAAGUUAAAAGAAGCUUUUUAAUAGGCAUAAAAAGAAAGCUGAGUCUUGAUCUCAGGAGCCUUUAGAUUGGAGAAAGACCCAUUAUGAAAUGUUUCAUUGUAGUCUUAGCAAAUAUGAUGUUUAAGGAGAUACUAUAUUAUUAAUUCUGAUUAUUACACAUACACUUUAAAUGUUUUAUUCGUUACUGUGAUUUUGAGUUUGGCUUUAGUGAUGCCCUCGUUGGGGUUGUAAAAUCUUCAGCUAUACAUUUUUUUUUUUCUGAUGAGUAAUUAUUAUUUUCAGAUUGUUGUCACCAUCACUUGGUUAAUGCAAAUCUUAAUAGGGUCUCACAUUCUCUACUUUGGUCAUUUUAUUUAUUGGUUCAUUCAAAUUCUGGGGGACCAUUUAAUAUUUUAAAUGAGUCAGGACCCUUACAAAUUGAAAGGCCAUAUAGGUACUCUUUGUACUAUUUAGUUUUCUGUAAACCUAAAACUAUCCUGAAAAAUAAAGUUGGUUAAUUUUUUAAAAA